CGCUGACGAUUGCCAUCCCUUGUAGCUGAACUUUUCACUCUGUAUACCCUGAGGCGUGUUGCCCAUCGGGAAAGAGAGCCAUCUAGUGAGUUCUAGUUGCAUCUCUGAUAGAGGAUUCAACCUCAAUUCUGCUAGUCCAAAAAUAUACUGGCCCAGCUUAUUAUGGAUGCUGUGAUAUAAGACAUGGUCCUUAUCUGGAAGGAACAUACCUUUUGAUAAAGAUACCAGAGAGUAGAGAAUUUAUUAGG